GCAACUUUUUGUCAAACGGAGAUGUGUUGAGGAGGUAGGAAGGGGACAGUGACAGACAUUACUUCAGACUUGAAGCUGUCACAGCAGACUCACCACAUGUUGUGGGCUCUCCAGAGGCUCUGACUUGAUACACAGUGAUGGGACAACACUGGACUUUAGCUGGACCGUGCCAAUCAGACUCGGGUUUACAAAACAGUCAUCAGUAAAGUGCUCACUACAAAUUGUGAUAUCAGUCCAGCACGUUUCUUUGAGUCGCUGCCCGUUGACUUCGAAGAGGAACUGGACCCACUCCAGUCUCCUCUCCGGAUCCUCCGGUAACUUGAACCUUUGCGCACCGCGACGCCCUGAAUCACAGCCGACGACCGAGCACAUCCCGGAUAUAAGCUCAGGUCCUUAAGUUUUAAAAAGUGUCCGGACAGCGUUAAAGUUUAAUAAUCAGGAGAAGUAGAAGAUGGACCUUCCAACGCCAAACACAGUGGAAAGCUAACGGCUAGUUAUUUUGCUAGUAGCUGUAACGGAAUGGGCGGGGUUCUAUAGCCGGGUUAGCGUGGUUUGCUAUCAGGCGUGUGCCGACUUUAGGUUUAAUACAUGAUAUAUGAAAGUACUGUCUUUAGGGGUCAUUACUUACAUCGUGUACACAAAGGUUGCUGAAGUCCAGGACAAUGAGGUCUUCCUUCAAUGAGGUUAAUGAAAGCUGGAGUACAUUAAACUCGUCAGGUAUGUGCCGGUGCUGUGCCGUUCUCGCAGCUGCAAUCUCGUUGCCGCUAAUCAACUGCAGGUAUAAGGCCCUCGAGGCUGGAGUGGAGGCGCGGUGUUGUGUUGGAUCGUGUGCUGGGCUGUGCUGGGCGAAGAGGAGUGUUGGAUUGUGUUGGCGUCCUCCUUCCGUGUCAAAGUUCAGGUUAUACGGUCUUGGCCCCAGUUGGACUCCAGUGAGCCCAACCAACCAGUGAGAGACUGUUUGUUGUUCGCAAGUUAUUAAUCUUGUCUCUUUUGUUAUUUUACAGAUGCCCGUCAUAACCUUUGUUGUGAUUAUUAAAGUCCCUUAUUUAUUUA